rnacentral:rRNA from 1 species
UACGGAGGGCGCAAGCGUUGUUCGGAAUUACUGGGCGUAAAGCGCGUGUAGGCGGCCGGGUAAGUCGGAUGUGAAAGCCCGGGGCCCAACCCCGGAACUGCACCCGAUACUGCCUGGCUGGAGUCCCGGAGAGGAUGGCGGAAUUUCCGGUGUAGAGGUGAAAUUCGUAGAUAUCGGAAGGAACACCAGUGGCGAAAGCGGCCUCCUGGACGGGCACUGACGCUGAGGCACGAAAGCGUGGGGAGCAAACAGG